GACGAACGCUGGCGGCGUGCUUAACACAUGCAAGUCGAACGGAAAGGCCCUGCCUUUGUGGGGUGCUCGAGUGGCGAACGGGUGAGUAACACGUGAGUAACCUGCCCUUGACUUUGGGAUAACUUCAGGAAACUGGGGCUAAUACCGGAUAGGAGCUCCUGCUGCAUGGAGGGGGUUGGAAAGUUUCGGCGGUUGGGGAUGGACUCGCGGCUUAUCAGCUUGUUGGUGGGGUAGUGGCUUACCAAGGCUUUGACGGGUAGCCGGCCUGAGAGGGUGACCGGCCACAUUGGGACUGAGAUACGGCCCAGACUCCUACGGGAGGCAGCAGUGGGGAAUAUUGCACAAUGGGCGGAAGCCUGAUGCAGCAACGCCGCGUGCGGGAUGACGGCCUUCGGGUUGUAAACCGCUUUCGCCUGUGACGAAGCGUGAGUGACGGUAAUGGGUAAAGAAGCACCGGCUAACUACGUG
rnacentral:rRNA from 1 species